rnacentral:snoRNA from 1 species
AUUUGUAAUGAUGAUUGGCUUUUAAGUGUUCAACUGCACUUAUGACCAUGAAAGAAUAUGCCUCUCUGAACAGUC